GUCUCGCCCCCCUCGUAUAUCAACUCCUCUAUGGCUCUGCCCGACCUAGACACCCAGCCGGCCAGCCGCCUCGCCGUCCCGGCAUCGCCGUUCCUCGCGGCUUCGCCGGUCACCAGCCGGAGCCCGGAGUUCAGCCGCCCAGGAGGCUCCCGCCUUUUUCCUGCUUCCCGCCCGGCCGCCCUCCCGGCUCCCGGUCUAGCCGCGCCCCUGCUGUCCCGGCGUCCCGCCGGCCCGGCCGCCCCCUGCAAAUCCCCACCACGGUGGCAGGCAAACCCCUGACUGAUUUGAGAAUUAUUGAAGAAUGAAUAGGACCAGAGACAUUGUUUCUCUUUUCCAGAGAGAAGCUAUUAAUACAGGGAAGAAGAAGAAGGCAGGGAAUGUGCCGCAUGUUGCCGAAGAGCAAACCGGAGAACUGGUGCGUAUGCCGGUUGUGAUUGAAGAGCAAACUCAUGAACCAACAGUUUCUAUGACGAAUGUGACCAUAGAGCAAAAGCAUGGGCCAUAAACAGUCUUUUUGAAGUUCUCAAGGUAUGUACUAUGGUCCAUGUAGUAUUUACUAUGUAGGCUUCUUUAUGAAAAGCUCAGAUUUAUUGAGAAUUUUAGUGUGUUCAUAAAACCAUAUCGAUAUAUUUCUUUUUGAUAUUGAUAAUUAGUUAGAACGUUCACAUGUUAUAUUGGGACGGACCA